AGAGUCGGCUAGGCAGUCGCUGUUGGAUUUAUUUUAACAGAGGAAAGUCCGGGCUCCAUAGGGCAAGGUGCCAGAUAACAUCUGGACGGCGUGAGCCGAUGGAAAGUGCCACAGAAAAUAUACCGCCUGUUUCGAUAGGUAAGGGUGAAAUGGUGCGGUAAGAGCGCACCGCGCUGUUAGCAAUAACAGUGGCAGGGUAAACCCCACCUGGAGCAAGACCAAAUAGGGAAACAAUGGUGCCGCCCGCACUGUUUCCGGGUAGGUUGCUUGAGAUGUUUGGCGACAGGCAUCCCAGAUGAAUGAUUGCCCAAGACAGAACCCGGCUUAUCGGCCGACUCUUUUU
rnacentral:RNase_P_RNA from 1 species